rnacentral:lncRNA from 1 species
CUUCACAUGCUAUUAACAUAGCUAAAUAUCUUGUAUUACUGUCAGUCCCUCCAUAUCAUAUGAUGUCCAAGCCCAAAUUUGUUAUAUCCUUCAUAUUCCACUAAAGCACUCUUGGCAAUAUUUGGGUGUUCACUUGCUAGGUAUUAAGCUCUAGGCCUCUAAUUAUAAUUUUUUCUGAUCAAAUGGGUACUAAGAUUGCAGGAUGGAAGUGAAAGGC